GACGGGGGGGGCAAGUGUUCUUCGGAAUUACUGGGCGUAAAGGGCGCGUAGGCGGCACUGUUAGUCAGGCGUGAAAGUCCUGGGCUCAACCUGGGAACUGCGCUUGAUACGGCAGAGCUAGAGGAUGGAAGAGGGUCGCGGAAUUCCCAGUGUAGAGGUGAAAUUCGUAGAUAUUGGGAAGAACACCGGUGGCGAAGGCGGCGACCUGGUCCAUUACUGACGCUGAGGCGCGACAGCGUGGGGAGCAAACAGG
rnacentral:rRNA from 1 species